AUGGAUGACAGAGGCGGCUUUGUGCGGUGGAGGUUUGGGCGUGAGCAUCAAAUGUUAGUGCGGUUGAAGAUUUGGAUUGCGUCCGCCAGUGAGGAACUCAUGAGUGUUAUGUUGCAUGAAUCGUGGACGGCGUGGGUUGGAGAUGGCCAAAGUCGUGGAGAUAAAUUUCGAGCAGAGGGGCUGGAGCAAAUCGGAGGGACGACAUCACAGAGGGCGGUGGUUGAGAUACUGUUGAUAAUAGGUGGUGGUGCUGCUAAACUAAAGAGAUUUAUAAAACCAAUUUGA